rnacentral:lncRNA from 1 species
UAUAGACUAUUUCUAUAUCACGAACCUUUACUACCACAGGAUGUGAAUAGCAAAUUAUUACUUCACCUGUUUUAUCUAUAACUGAGAUCCUCGGAACCCUCGCAUAAACUCGGCAAAUAAAUCGGUAGUCACCAGAAUGGUCUUUACAACACAAAUAUGGGAUGUUACCGGAAUAACUCAACCCCGGCUCAAGACGGCUGGAAAGCAGCUCAGAACAUGAGGCGGUGUUGAUAAGAAGAAUGUAGCAGUUCCCUAAGACGGCCGAAGAUAAGCUCAGAGCAUAGGGUCACUGCCAUGGAAAUAAAUUCAACAGCUGCCCGCGACGGUCGAAAAGCAGCUCAGAACACGGGUCAGCGGCUGACAAGAGAAUUAUAAAGUUGGCAUCCACCCCGGACGGCCGAAAGCAGCUCAGACUCAGGCGUGGUGCCAUCAUCAAAGAAAAUGCGAGCAAGGGUUCGUUAGCAUCUCAUACAACACGUUACUACGCAUGCAAUCACAAGCAUAUUAAUUUAAUCAUGCACGAACAACACAUAGCAAUGCUUUAGGGCAUAUAUCAGAUGGUCGGCUUGCCUAGGGGUUGAUGAAUACACCCGGAAGAGGUGCGGAGAGUCCGCAGAAAGGAUCGCCGGAUACUGCUCUCUCUCGAAGGGGGCUGAUUGGAGACAAGGGCAAAAGGGUCAUUUUCACUGUGUCACCACCUUGUGAAAAUGAUAUCAUCAUGACGGGCUCGAUGAGACGAAGACGAGGGCUUUGGAAUCACCCCAAUCGGAGUCUCGAGCAAAAAGAUACAAACAUUUGAAGUGGAAGGACCAAUCUGCAAAUAAAAUAAUUUCCCUCGGGUCCCUGAGAUAACAGCCGCUGGCGCCUUCUCUCGAAAUACGCUUUCGGAAGAGGAAAGUGCAUUCCCUGGUUUUGCGCUUCCACUUAUCCAGCUGGCUGCCUCUCUCACACUGACAGGUGGGGUCGAGGCCCACCUGUUGGGUCCCUACCUCUCUCUCCUCUCUCUCUCCCUUACCUGCGGGGCCCGCCCUAGCUUCUCUCUCUCCUCCCUCCUAUUCUUCUCCUUCCUCCCGAGACAGCCACAGGGGCAGCCGGCGGCGGCAGAUGCCGGUGAGGCGAGGCACGGCGGCCUCGGCCGACCAUGGGGAUGGGCUCACAGACCCUUCCCGCACCCGUGGUAGUCGAGGUGGAGGCGGGGGUGCUUGGAGGCGGCCGGUUGAGGAGGAGGCAGAAGGCGGCGGCCAUGGCGAACGGCGGCGGACAGAGAGCAGAGGGGCUACUCUGGCGAGCUUAGGAGGAGGGGGAUGGCUUGCUGGAGGGGAG